rnacentral:rRNA from 1 species
GACGAACGCUGGCGGCGUGCUUAACACAUGCGAGUCGAACGGAAAGGCCCUGCUUUUGUGGGGUGCUCGAGUGGCGAACGGGUGAGUAACACGUGAGUAACCUGCCCUUGACUUUGGGAUAACUUCAGGAAACUGGGGCUAAUACCGGAUAGGAGCUCCUGCUGCAUGGGGGGGGUUGGAAAGUUUCGGCGGUUGGGGAUGGACUCGCGGCUUAUCAGCUUGUUGGUGGGGUAGUGGCUUACCAAGGCUUUGACGGGUAGCCGGCCUGAGAGGGUGACCGGCCACAUUGGGACUGCGAUACGGCCCAGACUCCUACGGGAGGCAGCAGUGGGGAAUCUUGCACAAUGGGCGGAAGCCUGAUGCAGCAACGCCGCGUGCGUGAUGACGUCCUUCGGGUUGUAAACCGCUUUCGCCUGUGACGAAGCGUGAGUGACGGUAAUGGGUAAAGAAGCACCGGCUAACUACGUG